rnacentral:rRNA from 1 species
UGAACGCUGGCGGCGUGCCUAAUACAUGCACAUCGAGCGAACGGACGAGAAGCUUGCUUCUCUGAUGUUAGCGGCGGACGGGUGAGUAACACGUGGAUAACCUACCUAUAAGACUGGGAUAACUUCGGGAAACCGUAGCUAAUACCGGAUAAUAUUUUGAACCGCAUGGUUCAAAAGUGAAAGACGGUCUUGCUGUCACUUAUAGAUGGAUCCGCGCUGCAUUAGCUAGUUGGUAAGGUAACGGCUUACCAAGGCAACGAUGCAUAGCCGACCUGAGAGGGUGAUCGGCCACACUGGAACUGAGACACGGUCCAGACUCCUACGGGAGGCAGCAGUAGGGAAUCUUCCGCAAUGGGCGAAAGCCUGACGGAGCAACGCCGCGUGAGUGAUGAAGGUCUUCGGAUCGUAAAACUCUGUUAUUAGGGAAGAACAUAUGUGUAAGUAACUGUGCACAUCUUGACGGUACCUAAUCAGAAAGCCACGGCUAACUACGUG